rnacentral:rRNA from 1 species
UACGUAGGCAGCAAGCGUUGUUCGGAGUUACUGGGCGUAAAGGGUGUGUAGGCGGUUGUUUAAGUUUGGUGUGAAAUCUCCCGGCUCAACUGGGAGGGUGCGCCGAAUACUGAAUGACUUGGAGUACGGGAGAGGAAAGUGGAAUUCCUGGUGUAGCGGUGAAAUGCGCAGAUAUCAGGAGGAACACCAACGGCGAAGGCAGCUCUCUGGGACGUUACUGACGCUGAGACGCGAAAGCGUGGGGAGCAAACAGG